rnacentral:rRNA from 1 species
GAGUUGCUUUUCGCUGACGAGUGGCGCACGGGUGCGUAACGCGUAUACAAUCUACCUUUUACAGGGGGAUAGCCUUUGGAAACGAAGAAUAAUACCCCAUAGUAUUAUAGUUUGGCAUCGAAUUGUAAUUAAAGUUUCGGCGGUAAGAGAUGAGUAUGCGUCCUAUUAGCUAGAUGGUGUGGUAACGGCACACCAUGGCAACGAUAGGUAGGGGCCCUGAGAGGGGGAUCCCCCACACUGGUACUGAGACACGGACCAGACUCCUACGGGAGGCAGCAGUAGGGAAUAUUGGUCAAUGGGGGCAACCCUGAACCAGCCAUGCCGCGUGCAGGAUGAAGGCUUUCGGGUCGUAAACUGCUUUUAUUAGGGAAGAAGUAGGUCAUGCGUGACUGAGAGACUGUACCUAAAGAAUAAGCACCGGCUAACUCCGUGCCAGCAGCCGCGGUAAUACGGAGGGUGCAAGCGUUGUCCGGAAUUAUUGGGUUUAAAGGGUGCGUAGGCGGGCCUUUAAGUCAGAGGUGAAAUCCCACAGCUUAACUGUGGAACUGCCUUUGAUACUGAAGGUCUUGAGUAUGGUAGAGGUAAGCGGAAUUUAUGAUGUAGCGGUGAAAUGCAUAGAUAUCAUAAAGAACACCGAUUGCGUAGGCAGCUUACUGGGCCAUAACUGACGCUGAGGCACGAAAGCGUGGGGAGCGAAUAGGAUUAGAUACCCUGGUAGUCCACGCCGUAAACGAUGAUUACUCGAUGUUGGCUUUUUGAAGUCAGCGUCCAAGCGAAAGCGUUAAGUAAUCCACCUGGGGAGUACGCUCG